rnacentral:rRNA from 1 species
UUCGACACACUAUCAUUAACUGAAUCCAUAGGUUAAUGAGGCGAACCGGGGGAACUGAAACAUCUAAGUACCCCGAGGAAAAGAAAUCAACCGAGAUUCCCCCAGUAGCGGCGAGCGAACGGGGAGCAGCCCAGAGCCUGAAUCAGUAUGUGUGUUAGUGGAAGCGUCUGGAAAGGCGCGCGAUACAGGGUGACAGCCCCGUACACAAAAAUGCACAUGCUGUGAGCUCGAUGAGUAGGGCGGGACACGUGGUAUCCUGUCUGAAUAUGGGGGGACCAUCCUCCAAGGCUAAAUACUCCUGACUGACCGAUAGUGAACCAGUACCGUGAGGGAAAGGCGAAAAGAACCCCGGCGAGGGGAGUGAAAAAGAACCUGAAACCGUGUACGUACAAGCAGUGGGAGCACGCUUAGGCGUGUGACUGCGUACCUUUUGUAUAAUGGGUCAGCGACUUAUAUUCUGUAGCAAGGUUAACCGAAUAGGGGAGCCGAAGGGAAACCGAGUCUUAACUGGGCGUUAAGUUGCAGGGUAUAGACCCGAAACCCGGUGAUCUAGCCAUGGGCAGGUUGAAGGUUGGGUAACACUAACUGGAGGACCGAACCGACUAAUGUUGAAAAAUUAGCGGAUGACUUGUGGCUGGGGGUGAAAGGCCAAUCAAACCGGGAGAUAGCUGGUUCUCCCCGAAAGCUAUUUAGGUAGCGCCUCGUGAAUUCAUCUCCGGGGGUAGAGCACUGUUUCGGCAAGGGGGUCAUCCCGACUUACCAACCCGAUGCAAACUGCGAAUACCGGAGAAUGUUAUCACGGGAGACACACGGCGGGUGCUAACGUCCGUCGUGAAGAGGGAAACAACCCAGACCGCCAGCUAAGGUCCCAAAGUCAUGGUUAAGUGGGAAACGAUGUGGGAAGGCCCAGACAGCCAGGAUGUUGGCUUAGAAGCAGCCAUCAUUUAAAGAAAGCGUAAUAGCUCACUGGUCGAGUCGGCCUGCGCGGAAGAUGUAACGGGGCUAAACCAUGCACCGAAGCUGCGGCAGCGACGCUGAUGCGUUGUUGGGUAGGGGAGCGUUCUGUAAGCCUG